CUGAUUUCUUUGAUGUACAUACUUCCACCGUGGACAAUGUCAAUCAUGCUGGUCACGUGGUGUUGCUGGAUAUAGAGGCAGAAUUGUCUUGCGCCCUGGAUCUUGCUGGGCUGAGCUGGCUCCAGCCCAGCCUCCAUUCUGCCAGUUCCUUUCUUGCCACUUCAGUUCAAGGCCAGGAGUCUCCUCCUGCUGCUUUUGGCUGUUGCUGCUGAAAACCCUUUGUCUUCAACACGACAUUUAACUUGGAGAACUUCUCGAUAUACAGUGAGUCCCAGAAAUGUGCUCUUCUUCCCCGCUAAGUUGUGAGAGAUCUGAAGCCAGCUACACUGUAUUUCAUGAGAGGACAACAAUAGCACAGGGACCGGAAAGGAGAAGCUUGUGUCACUGCAAUUUGGCCAUUCCGAGUGACCGCUGGAAUUUUUGAGUUUCAAAUUUGAAACAGGACAAGAGUGAAGACUACAGGUUCACAUCGGAAGAUUCCACACUGUAACCCAGGAACAAAAAGCAGUCCGCUGUGACCCUGUAGAGAUCGUGGGGUGAGCACCCUCCCUGGAAGGCUGGGGACACAGGAGAGGCCAGGGUCCCACAGAGCUAGGGGGGCCUCUCUUCAUGGUCCAUGUUUGUGGGCUUGCUUUGUCCUUGUCCCCAUAGCAAGAAGUUCGCAGUAAGGAUGCUCAGGGUGGGUCUGCCCCUCAGCUGUGACCCCCGGGAAGCUCCUUUACUCUGAACAGUGCCCACCUGUCAAGUGGAAACUGAACUUUAAGUGAGAACAUCCACAUGGAACCUCCAGGCACACAGAAUGGCUCAAAUCAGACCCUCUGAGGAGGAGUUACUUUCACCUCUCUCCUCACAGAGCUACAGAUUCCUUUGACAGCUUCACUGUAGCUAUGAAAUGAUCUUGUGUGCUGAUCAUUCAUUACAUCUGUUCAGCUCUGUCUAUGUCUCUUUCUCUCUUUCUGAAAAAGCACCUCACUAGGUCACGGUGUGGAACCAGGGCUGAGGACCCAAGGGCCUCCUCGUCCCAGCACCUUCUCUCUGUGACUGUGAGAGGUGCCCAAGGCCCCCUCUGCUGCCACAUCUGCCCCGGCCUUCCUGUCCCACGAAGGGAGUGACCUCAGGGACAUGUGCAGGGAGCGUCUGGCAUUUCUAGCAGGCAGCCACCCUGAGCUCCUCUCAGGAGCACAAUCUGGACCCAAGCGAGUGAGGCACCUUGCGGGGCUGUCACGGGGUCCUUGCCAUGGUAUGGGGUGAGCCAGG